rnacentral:rRNA from 1 species
GAUGAACGCUGGCGGCGUGCCUAAUACAUGCAAGUCGAACGAAACUUCUUUAUCACCGAGUGCUUGCACUCACCGAUAAAGAGUUGAGUGGCGAACGGGUGAGUAACACGUGGGCAACCUGCCCAAAAGAGGGGGAUAACACUUGGAAACAGGUGCUAAUACCGCAUAACCAUAGUUACCGCAUGGUGACUAUGUAAAAGGUGGCUAUACUACCGCUUUUGGAUGGGCCCGCGGCGCAUUAGCUAGUUGGUAGGGUAAAGGCUUACCAAGGCAAUGAUGCGUAGCCGAAUUGAGAGGUUGAUCGGCCACAUUGGGACUGAGACACGGCCCAAACUCCUACGGGAGGCAGCAGUAGGGAAUCUUCCACAAUGGGCGAAAGCCUGAUGGAGCAACGCCGCGUGGGUGAAGAAGGUCUUCGGAUCGUAAAACCCUGUUGUUAGAGAAGAAAGUGCGUGAGAGUAACUGUUCACGUUUCGACGGUAUCUAACCAGAAAGCCGCGGCUAACUACGUG